AAAAGAUACAGGGUGAGAUGAAAAAACUACAACCAACUUCAGACUGCUGUCAUUUCUAAGCCAUUCGUCCGCCAGCUGUUAAAAUUAAUCCAUUUCUUUAUAUUUGGCUAGAAAACCACAAGUGGCUAUCGUUAGAGCACUCCAGCAUUUAAAUGUAAAUAAAUCUUUUGUGUUUCGUACAAUCGCUCGUUACCGUGAUACUGGUAGCGUAGCCCGAUGUCAAGGAAGUGGACGGAAGAAAACAGCAACAUCAGCAGAAAUGGUUCGAAAAGUAAAGAAGCGAUUUGAUCGAAACCAGCGUCGCAGUGGCCGAAAAAUGGCUGGUGAACUGAACAUAUCACAAUAUUCCAUACGGAAAAUAUUGAAAAAUGAGCUCGGGGUAAAGCCGUUGAAAUUCUAAAAAGUGUAAGAACAUAAACCGCAACAGAAAGAAAAUAGACUCAAAAGAGCUAAAUAGUUGCUUUGCUUGGCCGAAAGUGUUGAACUGCCGAAUUUGUUUUUUUCCGAUGAGAAAACAUUCGUUGUCCAGCAGU